rnacentral:rRNA from 1 species
AUGGAGCCCGACGACGAGGCGCUCAAGGAGCUGGCCGCCGCCUCGUCGCGGCCGCCGCAGCGGAGGGGCAUCUCCUACAGCCAGCCGCUGUCGCGCGGGGACACCGCGUCCGCGCGCCGCGCCGCGCUCCGCAACCUCAGCCUCGACGACGACCACGUCCUCCCGGCCUCCCACUCCCUCUCCUACGCGCACCACGACCCCUCCGCCGGCGUCCCCGCGGGGUACCACCCGCCGCUCCCGCCGCAGCAGCAGCACCACCACCACCCCAGCGCCUCCUACUCCUCCGGCCCCAGCUCCCGCCGCUCCGUCGGCGGCGCCAGCGACGGCUCCAUGACGCUCGAGCGCGCCAUGUCCGAGUACGGCGGCGGCGCCGGCACCCUCCCGGAGUUCGUCGGCGCGGGCGGCGGCAAGGGCAUCUUCCGCGUGCCGCUCCGCGCGGCAAUGCACCCGCACCGCCCUCCCCCGCUCGAGGUGCGGCCCCACCCGCUCCGGGAGACGCAGGCCGGCUCCUUCCUCCGCACGCUCGCCUCCGAUCCGCAGCGCCGCCAGCUCUGGGCCGGGGCCGAGUCCGGGAUCCGGGUGUGGGCGCUCGACGAGGUGUUCGCCGGGUGGGGCGCUGGCGCGCGCCGCGGCGACGAGGAGAGCGCGCCCUUCCGCGAGGGCGUGCCCGCGCCGCCCGCGCUCUGCGUCGCCAUGGACAGGGCCAACGGCCUGCUGUGGACGGGGCACAAGGACGGGAGGAUCCGCUCGUGGCGCAUGGACCUCGAGACGGCCGCCACGGCGCCCGCGCCUCCGCCUCCUGGUUCAGGCGGCGAAGGGAGCGUUGGGGGAAGCGCACACGGUGGACCCAACAGCGCCCCCGUGUUCAGGGAAGCCCUCACGUGGCAGGCCUACGGCCGCACGCCGGUGCUCUCCAUGGCCAUCACCUCGUAUGGUGAGAUAUGGUCGGGCUCAGAGGGUGGAGUCAUAAAGGCAUGGCCAUACGACGCCAUUGCCAAGUCCCUCUCGCUGUCACCGGAAGAGAGGCACAUGGCUGCAUUGUUGGUGGAGAGGGCGUACAUUGACCUCAGGAACCAUUGCACAGUUGGCAACGUAUGCUCUCUCCCUGCAUCUGAUGUUAAGUACAUGCUUGCCGAUCAUUCUCGGGCCAAGGUUUGGACCCUGACAAGCAUGACAUUUGCUCUCUGGGAUGCUCGUACAAGGGAGCUGCUGAAAGUAUUUGGAAUGGAUGGCCAAGUUGAGUCGGCUCGGCUAGAUACACCGGUCAUGCCAGAGCAACCCAUGGAGGAAGUAGAGGUCAAAGUAAAACCAUCUAAGAAGGACAAGUCGGGAGGCUCUUUGAACUUCUUCCAGAAAUCUAGGAAUGCCUUAAUGGGAGCAGCCGACGCGGUGCGCAGGGUUGCAACAAAGGGGACAUUUGUCGAAGAUAACCGGAGAACAGGAGCAGUGGCUCAAGCAGAUGAUGGGGCAAUUUGGUCUGGAUGCACAAAUGGUUGCAUUAUCCAGUGGGAUGGAAAUGGGAACCGAAUGCAGGAGUUCCAGCAUCAUACUUCUUCUGUGCAGUGCAUAAAGGCACUCGGAGAUAGGGUGUGGGUCGGCUACGCCAGUGGUACUGUUCAAGUCAUGGAUGUCGAUGGUAACCUUCUCGCAGGAUGGACUGGACAUAGCUGCCCGGUCAUAAGGAUGGCGAUUGGUGGUUCUUACAUCUACACUCUGGCACAUCAUGGCGGUAUCCGGGGAUGGCCACUGACUUCCCCUGGACCUCUUGAUGAUGUUUUGCGAACUGAAUUGGCUAACAAAGAAUUGUCAUACACUAGAAUGGAAAAGAUAAACAUAAUGGUUGGAAGUUGGAAUGUAGCGCAGGGAAAAGCAACUGCCGAGUCACUUAAAGCAUGGUUGGGUAGCGUAGCAUCUGAUGUCGGGUUAGUUGUUGUUGGAUUACAAGAGGUUGAGAUGGGUGCAGGUUUUCUUGCAAUUUCUGCAGCAAAAGAAACUGUAGGACUUGAGGGAAGUGCCAAUGGUCAAUGGUGGAUAGAUAAUAUAGGCAAAGCACUUGAUGAGGGGACAUCAUUCCACCGAGUUGGUUCUAGGCAGUUGGCUGCAUUGCUUAUUGCUGCAUGGGCAAGAAAAAGUCUUAAGCCAUAUGUCGGUGAUGUUGAGGCUGCAGCAGUUCCAUGUGGUCUUGGACGUGCCAUCGGCAAUAAGGGUGGUGUAGGAUUAAGAAUAAGAGUCUACGAUCGUAAAAUGUGUUUUGUGAGCAAUCAUUUUGCUGCACAUCUGGAAGCUGUUGCCAGGCGCAAUGCUGACUUCGAUCACAUUUAUCGUACAAUGGCUUUCAACAAACCUCAUGGAUCCACAUCUUCUGCUACAUCUGUCCAAUUGCACAGAACAGUGAAUGUUAAUGGAAAUCCAGUUGAUGAGGUCAGGCCUGACUUGGCUGAUGCUGAUAUGGUUGUCUUUCUUGGUGAUUUCAACUACCGGCUUUAUGGUAUCACAUAUGAUGAAGCAAGGGACAUGGUUUCCCAAAGAAGCUUUGAUUGGCUAAGAGAGAAGGAUCAGCUUCGAGCAGAAAUGAAAGCUGGAAAAGUAUUUCAAGGAAUGCGUGAAGGUCUGAUCAAAUUCCCACCGACUUACAAAUUCCAAAAGCACGCGCCAGGUCUUGGAGGGUAUGAUUCGGGUGAGAAGAAGCGGAUACCUGCUUGGUGUGAUAGGGUGCUAUAUCGCGACAGUCGUGCUGUAUCAGUAGCCGAAUGCUCGCUAGAGUGCCCUGUAGUUGCUGCAAUUACAUCGUAUGUAGCUGUCAUGGAGGUCACAGAGAGUGAUCAUAAACCUGUGAGGUGCACAUUUAGCGUUGAUAUUGCACGAGUAGAUGAGUUAACAAGAAGACAAGAGUAUGGAGAAAUAAUCGAAUCGAAUGAGGAAGUGCGGUCUAUGCUUAAGGAGUCUUGUUUUGUUCCUGACAGCACAGUUAGCACAGAGGAAAUUAUAUUGGAAAAUCAAGAGAAUAUUGUUUUCCAAAUUACCAAUAAUUGUGAAACAAGCAAAGCAGCUUUUGAAAUCCUAUGUGAAGGCCAGUCGACCAAAAAGGACGACGGGACUAAACCAGAGAUUAUUCCAAGGGCAUCAUUUGGCUUUCCACUUUGGCUUGAGGUCCUACCAGCGAACGGUCUUAUUAAACCAGGAGAAACCGUGGAUAUUACAAUACACCAUGAGGACUUCUACACACAAGAAGAAUUUGUGGACGGGAUACCACAAAACUGGUGGUGCGAAGACACCAGGGACAAGGAAGCUGUUAUUAUGGUAAACAUAACUGGUAGCACCUCAACUGAAACCAAGACGCACAUGAUCAAUGUCCGACAUCGCUGCCCAGCAACAUCAGCGCCCCCACCUAUCAAUCCACCGGUGACACUAACUCCACCAAGCAAUAACAUGCCCAGUGAAGCGCUGACUAAGCGUUCUUCUAAGAAGAAGGAGGCGAGUCGUCAACAACAACAGGACUACGCGCAGUUCGCAAGCGCGGAGGUGCAUGAUUUGUACCGCAUGCGUUGUCCCUGA